AUCCAGAUGUCGAGUCCCAAAUAGGACGAAAUGUACCUCCUGGAU
rnacentral:hammerhead_ribozyme from 1 species